rnacentral:rRNA from 1 species
ACGCCGCGUGAGUGAUGAAGGCUUUCGGGUCGUAAAACUCUGUUGUUAGGGAAGAACAAGUGCUAGUUGAAUAAGCUGGCACCUUGACGGUACCUAACCAGAAAGCCACGGCUAACUACGUGCCAGCAGCCGCGGUAAUACGUAGGUGGCAAGCGUUAUCCGGAAUUAUUGGGCGUAAAGCGCGCGCAGGUGGUUCUUAAGUCUGAUGUGAAAGCCCACGGCUCAACCGUGGAGGGUCAUUGGAAACUGGGAGACUUGAGUGCAGAAGAGGAAAGUGGAAUUCCAUGUGUAGCGGCAAAUGCGUAGAGAUAUGGAGGAACACCAGUGGCGAAGGCGACUUUCUGGUCUGUAACUGACACUGAGGCGCGAAAGCGUGGGGAGCAAACAGGAUUAGAUACCCUGGUAGUCCACGCCGUAAACGAUGAGUGCUAAGUGUUAGAGGGUUUCCGCCCUUUAGUGCUGAAGUUAACGCAUUAAGCACUCCG